rnacentral:rRNA from 1 species
AUGUGAGAGGGCCCCGCCCCCCCACCCGCCCGUGGAGUGAAGAACGCCUUCGGGUUAAAACCCCUUUCAGCAGGGACAAAGCGAAAGUCACAGUACCUGCACAAGAACCGCCAGCUAACUACCUGCCACCAGCCUCGCUAACACGUACGCGCCCAUCCGUUGUCCGGAAUUAUUGGACGUAAAAAGCUCCUAUGUGGUGUGCCACGUCCGCUGUCAAAACCCAACGCUUAACCUUGCCCUUGCAUUGGAUACGGGCAGACUAGAGGUAGGUACGGGACAAUGGAAUUCCCGGUGUAGCGGUGAAAUGCUCAGAUAUCAGGAGGAACACCAGUAGCGAAGGCCGUGAUCUGCGCCAAUGCUGACGCUGAGGAGCGAAAGCCUGAGGAGCGAACACGAUUAGAUACCCUGGUAGUCCACGCCGUAAACGGUGGGCACUACGUGUGGGGACUUUUCAACGGUUUCCGCGCCGCAGCUAACGCAUUAAGUGCCCCGCCUGGGGAG